rnacentral:piRNA from 1 species
UGACAGGAAUAAUCAGGGUUAGUCUAA